AAAUUAGAGGACUGGGCAAUCACCAAUCAUAUGAAGUUCAAUGAGGGAAAGUGCUGGAUUCUGCACCUGGGAUGGGGCAACCCUGGAUGUAUGUACAGAC